CCAGGGCGCUUGGCCCCGUGGGAACGUUUCCUGGGCCUGAGUGGCAGUGAAACACCCACUGGUAAUUGUGCAAGAGGAAGCUUCUGCCCACAGCCCGAGAACAGCUCAGUGCCGCUCCCCAGCCCUCCUGUCCACACACACAGCAGCCCGUGCAGCCCUCCUGGGCACUCGCUGCCCUGCUCCAGCCUGUGCGCACCUCCCGUCACCCGGACUGAGAUGGACAAGCUCCUGUUGCUGCUGCUGCUCCUGCUGGGAGUCUUCCCUGCUGUGUUCUUCCAGGGAGUGGCCCCAGCCACAGUGUGCAUGGUCUGCAGCAAUUUUAAGAGAGGUCAUUGUUUGAGGGGAAAGAGCAACUGCACCAUGGAGCAGGGCCCUGGAUGCAGAACCAGAGAUUUCUUCAUUUUCACCGACAGAGAUGGGUGGAGACUCAACCACACCGAACUGGACUGCUCAGACCGCUGUUUCCCUUCACAAUGGCAUUAUGAGACCCUGAAGAUUUCCACCUUUUGUUGUAAAGGUCAAGAUUUCUGUAACAGAUAUCAAGGAAAGGGACAGGGAUAGAAACUACUGACUCCUUUGUCAGGGUGGCGUCCCCUCGCCCCCUCCUGUCCCUGGCACCUCUGCUCCUGUCUCCCUCCCCACAUGCACCUCAGGGGCACGCACAGUCCCCCUCUGUCCUCCACACUCCCCCCUUCGCCUUUCUCCCGGCCACUGGCUCCUUCCCCCUGGACACCGGACACUCUCAGCUGCCCCUGCUUUCAGGUCUCUGCGUCCUGCACACCUGCAAAGCACCCCCAGCCUCCUCACCCCGCAUUUCCUGCUCUCUCACAACCUCGCAUUUCUCUGGCUGCCUGGCUGCCUCAUUUCUAAUCCCACCCACUCAGAAGGGACUGGAAUGUGCCUGGAAACGGAAUGGGUUCCAUUCUCCACACCAGGAGUGUGAGGGGUCAGUGGAAAACUCAAGAAAAUGUGUGCAACAGGCCGAUGGGCAGGGUGGCCUCAAAGUGCAAGGAGGUUCCAAGGCCUGAGGCAAAAAGAUGGGAUGUCAGCCUUAGAUGCUACGUGCAUAGUCAGGACCCACGGACAGUCACAAGACUCGGAGGGGCUGUCCAAUGGGAGGAGAAGGGAGUAGGGGUGAAUGAGUCACGGCUACUGGAGCCCACCAGCAUAAACAGUGGGUAGUGGUCAGAGAGACAGUGAGUUGAGGAAUGGAUGGAGCAGGGCAGGAGGAAGUGGUGAGCAUGCGCAUCUCUCCCAAGAAAGUGGAGAAGAACUGAGAAAGUCAAACAGUACUUUUUGUAAGAAAAGUGAGUUUAAUAUGCUUUUAGACAGAGUUUUAUGUCUUCUCUUUAAUGUAAAAUGCCUCUUUUAUUAGGACUGCAAGAAUACCUUUCACCAUCUUCUCAUCUUUCUCAACAUAUGUUUUAAAGCAUCUCUCUUGUUCUUUGGGCUUCUUUUUCUUUUUCCCUUUAAAGUACACUGUGGUCCUCGUCCCCUCUUUCAUUCUGUUCCCCUUAUCAGUCACGAUACAAAGAUGGAGAAUGUUAUGAUGAUGUUAAAUUACUUAUGAAAUAUAACCUUACAUUUCUUGUUUAUAAAUUAAAACAAAAUAAGAGGAAUUUCUUUCUCUUGUUGCAACUUGUUUUUAGCCUCAAUUUUUCCUUUGCUGUGUACUGCAGGGGUGUGGAGAUUAUUUGUAUUUUAAUCAUUUUUGAUUACUUCCCACUCACAAUUUAAAAUAAACUAAAUGGAGCAUUUGACCUUUCUCU